GGCUAGCGUUUCACGCAGAUGUGUUCAAAAACACAAUUUUUCAUUAUAACUUUUGAAACUGAGAAAAUAAUAGGAAGCUAUUGAUAUUGAUAUAUUCUAGUUACUAAUGGAUGACUUUUAUUUUUUACCAUUUAUCAAUACUCUAAGAGCAUUACAACGCCCGUGCCCCUUGAUCGAAAAUGACUGUUCGUUUUUCCGAACAGUGGUCCUAUAGGUAUUCACUUUGUUCACGUACUGUCAAACGCAGUUAGUUGAAUGGCUGGAUUGGUUUCGAAUUAUUAUUGUUUAUGUGGACUGAAUCUGUAUUGAAGCUAUCAAAUCAAGAUGAAUCGACGCCGCGCAUUGACGUUGCAUGAAGUUUUUGCUAUACUGGAGAAAGAGAGUGAUGAUUCUGAAGUAAAUGUGGUAUAUAUUCUCCCUCCCGUUGAUUUUAAGUAUUAGACAACACUUUCCAGCUAGAGCUCACGAUGAAAAGUCGAGAAGAUGCAGGCAUCGUCACAAACCCACAAUAUUCAUCUGUAAAAAAUGUAAUGUUUAUGUACAUCCCAAAUGUUUUGAAGCUCUUGAACCACAUAAAUAAUAAAUUUCAAUGAAAUCAUA